GGGGCUCAGCCCCCUUCAGGGUUAGUUGUAUGUCCUUUAUAUAAAAAUAGUAAGAAAGUUCAAAUGAUUGAGUGACAGGUUGGCACAAGAUGUGUAAUCUGUAAUCUGCUUCAGCCUGUCAUUCAGAUAUAAUGUCCAUACAGUCCUCCUCCUCCUCCUCUGGGACUCACUGUACACGUUCUUAAAGAAACAGUGACUUCCAACAGUGACUUCCAACAGUAGUUUCCAACAGUGACUUCCAACAGUGACUUCCAACAGUGACUUCCAACAGUGACUUCCAACAGUAGUUUCCAACAGUGACUUCCAACAGUGACUUCCAACAGUGACUUCCAACAGUGACUUCCAACAGUGACUUCCAACAGUGACUUCCAACAGUGACUUCCAACAGUAGUUUCCAACAUGAGUUUCCAACAGUGACUUCCAACAGUGACUUCCAACAUGAGUUUCCAACAGUAGUUUCCAACAGUAGUUUCCAACAGUGACUUCCAACAGUAGUUUCCAACAGUGAUUUCCAACAGUGACUUCCAACAGUGACUUCCAACAGUGACUUCCAACAGUGACUUCCAACAGUGACUUCCAACAGUGACUUCCAACAGUGACUUCC
ensembl:lncRNA